rnacentral:ncRNA from 1 species
AGGGAGUUUUAUUCUUGCUUUUUCGUUCAGUUUUUGUUUGUUUUAUAUGUAAGUUUGUGCGUGAUUUGUUACUGUUCUAGAUGGACUUUAAAGGGUUUUGUUUAAUUCUCAUUAGUUAUUAUUGGUUGAUCAAGGGUCCUUGUAUCUAGCAAUACAUUUUAGUUUCGGUUAAAUUUUGUGCCAGCAGCCGCGGUUAUACUUUGGAGGCGUUUGAAUGUGUUUGGUUUAUUUGUAGUUAUUUUUAAUGUUUUUGUGGACUUUCUUGUGAUUGUUUCGUUAGGUGGAAUUUUUAUUUUCUUAUUUGUCUUUUAUCUCUUUGGAGGCUAUGAAAUUCUAUUUAUAGACUAGGAUUAGAUACCCUAUUAUUUAGAAUGUUAAUUGUUUGUGCCUGAGUAGUAUUAGCUAUGUUCUUGAAACUUAAAGAAUUUGGCGGUAUCUCAUUCCGUCCAGAGGAAUCUGUCUCGUUAUCGAUAGUCCGCGUUGGACCUUACUUGGGUUGCUUAUGGUUUGUAUACCGCCGUUUAUUGAUUAUCUUUUUAGAGUUGGGUAAUUUUCUGGUUUCUUUAUUUUGGUUUAUUUCAGGUCAAGGUGCAGCUUGUUUCUAAGUGGAUGAUGGAUUACAUUUUUAUUUGUUUUUGGAUUAUUGAUUUUAAUAUUAGUAUGAAAUUGGAUUUGGUUGUAAUGGUUUGUAGAUUGUUACUGUGAUAUAGGUUCUGGGAUAUGCACACAUCGCCCGUCGCUCUCGUUUUGUUGUUAAUGAGAUAAGUCGUAACAGAGUGGUUGUACCGGAAGGUGCGGCUGGAUUGAU